rnacentral:lncRNA from 1 species
AAGCUUGUCAGUGGCUAAGGCAAUGGUGCUUUUCAGGCAGGUGGGGCUCCGCCACAUGCUCAUUGUACCCAAAUACCAAGCAGCAGGGGUGAGAUUAUAAGCAAAUUUCAGUUAUUAUUCUUAUGCAAAUAUCUCCCUCCUAUCAUAGUAUUAAGAUGCACAGAAAUAGUCAUAUCGUGGCAAAGUUAUUUUACGUUAGUAAGUGAUAAAAGCAUUACUUACAUCACACUUGUGCUCCUUUUGUAGGUAUCUCCGGUGGUGGGAAUCUUGACCAGGCAAGACUUGAGAGCCCACAACAUUUUGAGUGUCUUCCCUCAUCUGGAGAAGUCAAAAAGCGGUAAAAAGGGGAACUGAAUCUCUCCAGAAAAAACAGAUACCAGUCAAUUUCCAUGAAAUAUUUUUUUCCAGAUUCCUUUAGAUCUUUCCUUCUCUGUUUUACUUUCUCUUUUUGUAGUUUCCAGUUUCCAUCAUUUCUCAAUUUUUAUAGGAAGAGAGAUACCUGAAGAGAGCAAUUUUUUAUGAAUUAUUUGACACACAUAAGAAAUCAUUUAUAUAUACAUCCUUUCAGUACAAAUGCAGAGAAACAUAGUUCAUACAAUGCAACCACAUAACGCAAUAACGGCAAUUAUGUGAUAUAAUCUUGUGCCAUUUAUGAAAACUAUCUUGAAUAGAGAUUUGUCCAUAGUAAUGUUCUGUUUGCAAGUUACCUGAGUCGAAUACAAACUUCAACCAUACACAAUUUUUGAAGAUGAAAUACUCAAAAGCUCCCUCCUCCUCGCCAGAUUUCUUUUUCUUGCUGUUGUAUCCUCUACCUUUUUUAAGCAUAGAAUCUCAAUACUGCAUGCAGCCACAUUGAUUUCUUUGAUUUGGGCAACAGUUAGGUAGGUGUGCUCCAAAAACAGAAAAGGAUCAUAGAAGCAGAUUAAACAAUGAAGCACCCAGACAAAGCAGCUACUUAUUAUGCACCAAGAGAUACAACGCAUAGGUCCCCAAUAACAGACAAGUCUAUAUGCAAGUACAAUAAGAAAGAAGCUUGAUGUUAGAUUAGAAAAAGGGGAAACGUUAAAAAUUUCAGCAUAUUAUCUGUUGCACCCUAUAAAAUUGGAGGAAUUUGUGUUUCUUUCACUUUCAUUCGUAAAAUUCACGCUCUAGAUGCCCUUCCAACUUCUUGGUCCUCUGCUAUGUCUUUCCUUUCAUUGAUAUCUACCGCUGUUAUGGGUGACUUUUAGUUUCAUAGCUAUUCUCAAUUUCUUUUUGCAUUGUCUAUCUCAAAUUACAUGAUUCAAUUUGACCAGGCGAGACAUCAAGAGAAAGGCACGACUGAAGUUUAAUUGUUUGUAAAUGUUUAAAGUUAACUGUUUGAUGAAUUUGACCUUAAUUUAUAAAGUGUUUCAAUGUCUAUUUUUCAGUAAUAUGAUAUUAUGUAAGUAUUGAAGGCUUCUUUUCCAGUAAAAUGCUUAUGGAACUACAAUUAGAAAAGUAAUCAAUUUGCUCAGCAGAAAAAGAGCAAGUUUUUCAUGUUUGAGUUUUGAUGAUCACAGUUUUCUAAAUAUACGGAUAGCAUUUUUUUGUGAAUUUUGUUAAAGACACUGUAAAGGAUCAUCAUUGUUCAAGUACAGCUACUGAGCUAUGUAUCACGUGCACAAGACAGCUUGCAACCGAGAUCCUUCUUCAGCUCUCUCUCUCUCUCUCUCUCCAAGCAAAAGAGUGAGAAAAGAAAAAUGCUAGCUCAAAUGGUUAGCGUGGGGUUGGAACUCAAAGGCAAAAAUUUAUAUAUGUUUCGUAUCACAUAGGUAUUGCUUACAUCUAAGUUAACAAGAAGAAUUCUCCUUCCCAUUUCUUCAAUGGCAGGGCGUCAAGCCCAUUUCUUAUCAGUUUGUCUCCUCUACACUGAAAAUCUCUAUGAAGGAAUGCACAUUCCGUAUUGUUUUAUUAGUUCUUAGUGCUCAGUUUCCUCAUUUUGAUGCAAAGGUAAGUCCACAUGAGAUGCAAUCAAAUUCUAGCUGGCACAGAUGCAAGGACUACCUGAUCAACGAAGGGAAAGACAAAACAUUUGUGUUCCAACUUCCAUGGAAGAAAUUAAAGACAGGCUUUGUCCAAAUGCCAUUCCUAACUAGAGCAGAUGAAAAAUCCUGCAUGAAUAAUGGUUUGUCAUAAGCUUUAGGAUAAUAAAGGCAUCUUUAGCACCUAAAGUAAACUUGAUGGAACUAAAUGGCAGCACUUACAGAUUGUAUGGUAACAUAGAAGGCCAGAUAUUCGAUUCCACAUGACAAUACCAUUACCAUCUCUUAUGAUCCCCACCGAUCAUAAUCUGAAUUCGCUGGAAAGCUAACUGAAAGCUAACUUCAAAGUUCAUCUUGAUGUAAUAAAUAUGUUUAAACUACGAUUACAAAAACAAUUUAAUGCAACAAUCCUUGUCAGAUCCCUUGAGUGACUGCCGAGAGCUACUACCUGCGAGAAAUCUCCCCAAAAUGAUAAGUUUUCAUCUUAUGAUACUUUAACAGGGAAGUGAUAAUUGUUUUUUGAUGAACUUGAAAUCCAUCUGGGUCCAGUCCUCAGGACCAAUCCCAACCAGUGAAACUCGGGGAUAAUGAGCCGGUCGCUCUAUUAUUCUCCACUUAAAUAUCAGGAUUAGUUCGCAUGGCACAUGGCUUGAACCUGUGACCUAAGUCACAAGUCCCUAAACCUUUGCUACUUGAACCAAGCCUUCCCCCCCCCCCCCCCCCCCAUUCACCAUCAUCAGCAAAGAAAAUGUUUUUUUAGGCUCAUAUCACUUAUAAAAAGGUUCAAAUUUCUUAGUAUAAAACUUAAUUAACCAACUAUAACCCCAAUGUUCAAUUUUGCCCAAAUAUCAGUUCCCGCAGGACCUACAAUUCCAAAUGAUUUUUUAUUUUCAAUCCUCGUGUCUAUGUAACUUUAUUCACUACACCUUCAUCUCCCACGUUUUAUGAAAUGAGCAAGGUAAAGUGCAUAUAUCUUGCAUUGAAUUACAUAAAUUUGGAAAGCGUAAACCUCCUUAAGAACCACAGAUAAUAUUUGGUACUGUGUGUAUGCAUAAUAAGUUCAGAGUAAACAUAGUAAUCCAGGUUGCAGACCUUUAAAGUCGGCGAUAUAAACUGAGUGCGUUGUUCAUCCGAUCCUAAUAAGCUCGAGCAGGGGCUUGACGGAAAACUUGAGAAAGAAUCAACAACAAACUAAACAAACAGAUUUGCAGCAAUCAGGUACUUAGAAGGAAUGCCAGCAGAUCACUUGAGAAACGAUCAAACAAAGAGCAAUAUUAUCAAUGGAGAGGAGUGUCAAAAUAUGAUGAAAUUUAGAAGACAAAGGAAGUCAUGUACUGCGUAACUUUGGAAGAGAGGACAGCCGAGGAAAUUGCUCGCACGUAAUGCAAUCGGGACAGCGCGGACCUGAACCGGUAUUUACUUUCGGGUCG